CUGCAGUCGAACGAUGAAGCCCAGCUUGCUGGGUGGAUUAGUGGCGAACGGGUGAGUAACACGUGAGUAACCUGCCCUUAACUCUGGGAUAAGCCUGGGAAACUGGGUCUAAUACCGGAUAGGAGCGUCCACCGCAUGGUGGGUGUUGGAAAGAUUUAUCGGUUUUGGAUGGACUCGCGGCCUAUCAGCUUGUUGGUGAGGUAAUGGCUCACCAAGGCGACGACGGGUAGCCGGCCUGAGAGGGUGACCGGCCACACUGGGACUGAGACACGGCCCAGACUCCUACGGGAGGCAGCAGUGGGGAAUAUUGCACAAUGGGCGAAAGCCUGAUGCAGCGACGCCGCGUGAGGGAUGACGGCCUUCGGGUUGUAAACCUCUUUCAGUAGGGAAGAAGCGAAAGUGACGGUACCUGCAGAAGAAGCACCGGCUAACUACGUGCCAGCAGCCGCGGUAAUACGUAGGGUGCGAGCGUUAUCCGGAAUUAUUGGGCGUAAAGAGCUCGUAGGCGGUUUGUCGCGUCUGUCGUGAAAGUCCGGGGCUUAACCCCGGAUCUGCGGUGGGUACGGGCAGACUAGAGUGCAGUAGGGGAGACUGGAAUUCCUGGUGUAGCGGUGGAAUGCGCAGAUAUCAGGAGGAACACCGAUGGCGAAGGCAGGUCUCUGGGCUGUAACUGACGCUGAGGAGCGAAAGCAUGGGGAGCGAACAGGAUUAGAUACCCUGGUAGUCCAUGCCGUAAACGUUGGGCACUAGGUGUGGGGACCAUUCCACGGUUUCCGCGCCGCAGCUAACGCAUUAAGUGCCCCGCCUGGGGGAGUACGGCCGCAAGGCUAAAACUCAAAGGAAUUGACGGGGGCCCGCACAAGCGGCGGAGCAUGCGGAUUAAUUCGAUGCAACGCGAAGAACCUUACCAAGGCUUGACAUGUUCUCGAUCGCCGUAGAGAUACGGUUUCCCCUUUGGGGCGGGUUCACAGGUGGUGCAUGGUUGUCGUCAGCUCGUGUCGUGAGAUGUUGGGUUAAGUCCCGCAACGAGCGCAACCCUCGUUCCAUGUUGCCAGCACGUAAUGGUGGGGACUCAUGGGAGACUGCCGGGGUCAACUCGGAGGAAGGUGAGGACGACGUCAAAUCAUCAUGCCCCUUAUGUCUUGGGCUUCACGCAUGCUACAAUGGCCGGUACAAUGGGUUGCGAUACUGUGAGGUGGAGCUAAUCCCAAAAAGCCGGUCUCAGUUCGGAUUGGGGUCUGCAACUCGACCCCAUGAAGUCGGAGUCGCUAGUAAUCGCA
rnacentral:rRNA from 1 species